CAAGAAUUUAGACUGGACUUGUUAUAUUUCAGUUGCCUAGGAAACAGCUGAGAAAAGAGGCCAAAUGACAGUUACCUCAUUCUGAUGACAUCUAUUAAUCUUAAUUACCACAGCCAAGUAAUGGGGAAAAAAUACAUCAGGAUUCCAAGAGGACCAAGAAAAUGCCAACAGGAGGUGACACCUACUGGGAUCUCACAGAAGAAGCCAAGACUCAGAGAGUUGGUAGAACCAGCACAUCACUACACACCUGGCACUGAUACCAGAAUUCUUCACUUGGAUGGAAUCACAGAAAGAGACCAGCCUAAGGAGGCUCUGCUGGAAAAGGAGGCUCUGCUUCAAGACUCCUCCUCUGACCAAAAUGUUCAUUUGAGCGAGAUGCAAUGAAAAAGCUGUUAAGCAACUCUUGGUUUUUAUUUCUCACGGUAACAUGCUUAGCUGGCUGUGACUGAACAUCUACCAUGUGCUAAACACACUGCAAGAUGCUAGCUACUAUGUUCCUGCUUUUAAAUUUGGCAGCAGUCUUACUAGGCAGGUACUGAACCCACUGAAAGAAUAAUAGAAAUGAAUAGAAACUAGGAUGGCCCUUAUUCCACAUUGGAGGUUCUCAAACUACAUACAACAAAAUACCAGUUUGUCUUGUUCUUAUUUUAAAAUUCCCAAUCUG